rnacentral:rRNA from 1 species
AAUAGAUACCCUGGUAGUCCACGCCGUAAACGAUGGAUGCUAGCUGUUAUGAGUAUUGACCCUUGUAGUAGCGAAGCUAACGCGUUAAGCAUCCCGCCUGUGGAGUACGAGCGCAAGCUUAAAACAUAAAGGAAUUGACGGGGACCCGCACAAGCGGUGGAGCGUGUUGUUUAAUUCGAUGAUAAGCGAAGAACCUUACCAAGGCUUGACAGUCCCUGGAAUUUCUCCGAAAGGAGAGAGUGCCUUCGGGAAUCAGGUGACAGGUGAUGCAUGGCCGUCGUCAGCUCGUGUCGUGAGAUGUUGGUUAAGUCCAUCAACGAGCGCAACCCUUGUAAAUAGUUGAAUUUUUCUAUUUAGACUGCCUCGGUAACGGGAGGAAGGAGGGGAUGAUGUCAGGUCAGUAUUUCCCUUACGCCUUGGGCUACAAACACGCUACAAUGGCCGGUACAAAGGGCAGCCAACCCGCGAGGGGGAGCAAAUCCCAUCAAAACCGGUCUCAGUUCGGAUAGCAGGCUGAAAUUCGCCUGCUUGAAGCCGG